rnacentral:misc_RNA from 1 species
GUGAAUCAUCAAAUCUUUGAACGCAAAUUGCACUCUCUGGCAUUCCGAUGAGUAUUCCUGUGUGAGGGUCAGUAUAAUCAAAAUAGUAGCGAUUCUGUGUUGGUAACGCACGGGAAUUUGGGUCAUUUUAACUCUUUUUUUUUAGAGGGCUAAAAAUAACAUUCUUUUUUGCUCACUUUUGAGAAGGAUUUAAUUUUUUUUUGUUUGUCUACACUGGUGUUUA